GUCCCGUAUUUUUAUACAUUGGAACAACCCGGAUUAACUAUGAUAAUUUAAGGCCAAGAUUAUUCCGGGAUUUGAAGUCGGGACUUUUGACCAUUUGAUUUUAAUUUGAGAUAUAAGUCAUGUAUGAAAUUGAUGGCAUUGAACACUUAGGGAAAAUUGGGACUACAAUUCAUAAAAUUGGAAUUAAAAUGUUGUGCAAAAAAAAAAAAUUCCUUGGUGGCCAUGUAAAUGGGAAUUGGUCCCACACAUUGUGUGGCCAAUUUUAAUUGGUCCACCCCAUGUGUGGGCCAUGGACACUUGGACAAUAUUCAUAUAAGCACAAAAGAUGACCAAGUAGUCAUCUUUUCUACCAUUCCAUCAAAAAAAAAAAAGAGCAAGAAGUUGAAGAACAACUUCAACCACACGGCCAAGAACAAAAAAAAAACAAAUCCAAUUCAAGCCAUCCCAAAAUUAUUUCUUUGGUGUAAACCCACUAUUUUGAGGUCCCUAAGUAGUGUGGAAGUGUUGUUGGGGCGAUCAAAUCAUCCGUUUGGCAAGAUCACAAACCCUAACUAUUUGUGGGAUUGAAGAAGAAAGACCUUGGGGAGCCCGAGGCGUAGAUUUGGAUUAGCUUUAGAUUGAUUCGCUUGGAGUGCGUACGAGGUACAGACGCACAGCCUGGUGAUCCACCUGUUUAGGACACCCUUUCUGCUAUUCGGAGUGCUCCUCUCUUUCCGGAGCUUAUACUUUUGGUAUAUAUAUUUAUUAGUGCAUUUGUAUAUAUUCGUUCAUGGGUACGGCGGGGCCCUGUCCCGUCAUAUGAUUCUGUCGGUCUGUUUAGAGGUCUGUGGACAUGUUUGUGGGUUAGGGUCUUUCUGUAUGAAUGUAUGUACAUGUCGUUUGGGCGAUCACAUACGCCGAGGCGGCCGGUCCGCAUAUGUUGUUUGGGCGACCCUAUACGCCGAGGCGGCCGGUCCGCAUAUGUUUAUAUAUUGCUUGGUUAGCCCUGUGUGGCUUUCGUUGGUA